CGUGAACCCCGGAGCCGGCGGCGCUGGGGCCAGAGGGGCCGGGAGCCCCAGGGAGGCGGAUCUGGGCCCCGAGAAGGACACCCGCCUGGAUUUGCCCCGUAGGCCCGGCCCGGGCCCCUCGGGAGCAGAACAGCCUUGGUGAGGUGGACAGGAGGGGACCUCGCGAGCAGACGCGCGCGCCAGCGACAGCAGCCCGCCCCGGCCUCUCGGGAGCCGUGGGGCAGAGGCUGCGGAGCCCCAGGAGGGUCUAUCAGCCACAGUCUCUGCAUGUUUCCAAGAGCAGCAGAAAAUGAACACAUUGCAGGGGCCAGUGUCAUUCAAAGAUGUGGCUGUGGAUUUCACCCAGGAGGAGUGGCGGCAACUGGACCCUGAUGAGAAGAUAACAUACGGGGAUGUGAUGUUGGAGAACUACAGCCAUCUAGUUUCCUUGGAUAUGAUAUCACCAAGCCAAACGUCAUCAUUAAGUUGGAGCAGGGAGAGGAGCUGUGGAUAACGGGAGGUGAAUUUCCAUGUCAACAUAGUC
rnacentral:lncRNA from 1 species